CUUUUCGAGGUCGGCCGCGUGGCUGGAAGACAUGGCCACUCCAGUCGGUGUUGAGCACGGCGAGCAGUCUCAGGCCUUUAGUGAUGAUGAUUAAAGGUGGUGGCUGUGGCCUUGAAAACAGUCAUGUGAAAACUCAUCACCUUAAGGUGUUAAGUGUAAGGAUCUUCAUGAUGAAAUUUCUGUAAAUGGUGCAGUCAGCCUCAGUUUCCAAAGCCGGAAAAGGAUCCUCUAGUAGCCACGGUGUGGCAGCUGCUCUGAACCAGGACCUGGACCCGGACCCAAAGUGCCAUGUCUUUAAUGUUAGCUCCCAGCGAUGCCAGAUGGGAUCAGCACAGCCCUGCCUCUGCUGCUAAUUGUUCCUCUAAAGUAAUCGCCAUGCGUUCUUUGGGCUUCAUCUUUAAAGGAAUGAAGCAACUGAGAUUAUUCUGGAAAACCUUUUGGCAGUUAGUGAAAUUAGAGUACAACUAAGAACAUUUUCAGACCUCCACUGUGGAUGACCUGGGUAUAAUCUCACAAAUCGAUGGGACUGCAAGGAUUGUAAACUGAAAUGAACAUGAUUAUACUCUGUUGGAAGAGCCUAAGAGGAAACUGAUGCCAUGAGUUUCAGAGAGUAAUGCUUAACCCCAGUUACACAGGAUGCCGUCUUGUGUUUCCUCUUGUUUAGUUACCCACUACAGUGAUUUUGUGAUCUGCUAAUGGGUUGCCACCCACAACCAUUGCUUUAGCACUUUUACUUCAAAUCAAUGAAGGAUUGAUAAAAGUUCUCCUGGUGUCUCCGCAGAGUGCCUUCCAGGAACAGAUCUUUGCAUAGAAUAUCAGUGGUUUCCUUUUUUGUUUCAAAUAGUGGUCAGAAAAUACCCAGUGUUGACUCACCAAGGCAAUCAGCUUCCUUUUUCCCUUUUUUUGUUUUUUUUUUAACAUUUUAUAUUUUUGCUUUAUUUUAUUUUAUUUUAUUUUAUUUUAUUUUAUUUUAUUUUAUUUUUUGAGACGGAGUUCCACUCUGUCGCCAGGCUGGAGUGAAGUGGUACAAUCUUGGCUCACUGCAACCUCCACCUCCCGGGUUCAAGCAAUUCUCCUGGCUCAGCCUCCUGAGUGCUGGGACUACAGGCGCGUACCUUCUUUAGUAGAGACUGGGUUUCACCAUGUUGGCCAGGAUGGUCUCUAUCUCCUGACUUCAAGUGAUCCACCCA
rnacentral:lncRNA from 10 species